AUUGAACGCUGGCGGCAGGCCUAACACAUGCAAGUCGAGCGGGAACUUCGGUUCUAGCGGCGGACGGGUGAGUAAUGCGUAGGAAGCUACCCGACAGAGGGGGAUACCAGUUGGAAACGACUGUUAAUACCGCAUAAUGUCUACGGACCAAAGUGUGGGACCUUCGGGCCACAUGCUAUCGGAUGCGCCUACGUGGGAUUAGCUAGUUGGUGAGGUAAUGGCUCACCAAGGCGACGAUCCCUAGCUGGUUUGAGAGGAUGAUCAGCCACACUGGAACUGAGACACGGUCCAGACUCCUACGGGAGGCAGCAGUGGGGAAUAUUGGACAAUGGGCGCAAGCCUGAUCCAGCCAUGCCGCGUGUGUGAAGAAGGCCUUCGGGUUGUAAAGCACUUUCAGUAAGGAGGAAGAGUUGUGUGUUAAUAGUACACAGCUUUGACGUUACUUACAGAAGAAGCACCGGCUAACUCUGUGCCAGCCGCCGCCGUAAAAC
rnacentral:rRNA from 1 species